GACGGAGGAUGCAAGCGUUAUCCGGAAUUAUUGGGCGUAAAGCGUCCGCAGGUGGCUGUUCAAGUCUGCUGUCAAAGCGCGGAGCUUAACUCUGUACAGGCGGUGGAAACUGAAGAGCUAGAGUAUGGUAGGGGUAGAGGGAAUUCCCGGUGUAGCGGUGAAAUGCGUAGAUAUCGGGAAGAACACCAGUGGCGAAAGCGCUCUACUGGGCCAUAACUGACACUGAGGGACGAAAGCUAGGGGAGCGAAAGGG
rnacentral:rRNA from 1 species